AAAGAGUCCCUCCCGACUGUUUACCAAAAACACAGCACUUUGCCAACUCGUAAGAGGAAGUAUAAGGUGUGACGCCUGCCCGGUGCUCGAAGGUUAAGAGGAUGCGUCAGUCGCAAGAUGAAGCGUUGAAUUGAAGCCCGAGUAAACGGCGGCCGUAACUAUAACGGUCCUAAGGUAGCGAAAUUCCUUGUCGGUUAAAUACCGACCUGCAUGAAUGGCGUAACGAGAUGGGAGCUGUCUCAACCAGAGAUUCAGUGAAAUUGUAGUGGAGGUGAAAAUUCCUCCUACCCGCGGCAAGACGGGAAGACCCCGUGGACCUUUACUACAACUUAGCACUGCUAAUGGGAAUAUCAUGCGCAGGAUAGGUGGGAGGCUUUGAAGUAAGGGCUUUGGCUCUUAUGGAGCCAUCCUUGAGAUACCACCCUUGAUGUUUCUGUUAGCUAACUGGCCUGUGUUAUCCACAGGCAGGACAAUGC
rnacentral:rRNA from 1 species